GAGAAAGAGGCCGACCACUGACUGUCGUCGUACUGAAUCCAUUGUCAGCCACCAAAAAAGGUAAAAAUUCUCCCUACCUGCUUGGAAUUUAGUUUUGUGCAUCCCUGUGGCCAAAUCAGAGUAAGAGGAAUGACGGGUGAGCCAGAAACUAUGGGUCAAGUCCAGCAAAGUUGCCGCACCAAAAUCUAAAAAUUCAUCCGAUGAGCCCCUUCACGCUUCUCGUUUCACAAAAUUUUUCAGUUAUUAUAUUCAAUGUCCUUUUCUAUGCAGGUUAUAUGAAGAAAGAAUCUCAUCCGCAAAGGAUGACCGGAGCAACCGCACCCGGAAGUCCUCCCGCUAGUAGGUUCGAUUUUUAUGAUUUUUCAACCAACC
rnacentral:lncRNA from 1 species